rnacentral:tRNA from 1 species
GGUGUGUUGGCCGAGUGGUUAGGCAACGGUCUGCAAAACCGUGUACGGCGGUUCAAAUCCGCCACGCACCU